rnacentral:rRNA from 1 species
AACGAACGCUGGCGGCGUGCUUAACACAUGCAAGUCGAACGCGAAAGGGACUUCGGUCCUGAGUAAAGUGGCGCACGGGUGAGUAACGCGUAGAUAACCUAUCUUCAUGUCUGGAAUAAUACGCCGAAAGGGGUACUAAUACCGGAUACUCUUGCUUUAUAUAAGUUUUGCAAGCAAAGGUGGCCUCUGCAUAUGCUACUGCAUGAAGAGGGGUCUGCGUACCAUCAGCUAGUAGGUGGGGUAAUGGCCUACCUAGGCGACGAUGGUUAGCGGGUCUGAGAGGAUGAUCCGCCACGCUGGCACUGGAACACGGGCCAGACUCCUACGGGAGGCAGCAGUGAGGAAUAUUGCGCAAGGGGGGCAACCCUGACGCAGCGACGCCGCGUGAGUGAGGAAGGCCUUCGGGUCGUAAAGCUCUGUCAAAGGGAAAGAAGUGCAUGGUGGCUAAUACCUGUCAUGUUUGACGGUACCCUUAAAGGAAGCACCGGCUAACUCCGUGCCAGCCGCCGCGGUAACAC